UACAGAGGGUGCGAGCGUUAAUCGGAAUUACUGGGCGUAAAGCGUGCGUAGACGGCUAUCUAAGUCGGGUGUGAAAGCCCCGGGCUCAACCUGGGAAUUGCAUUCGAGACUGAAUAGCUAGGGUACGGUAGAGGGUGGCGGAACUCCGGGUGUAGCGGUGAAAUGCGUAGAUAUCCGGAAGAACACCGAUGGCGAAGGCAACCACCUGGGCCUGUACUGACGCUGAGGUACGAAAGCGUGGGGAGCAAACAGG
rnacentral:rRNA from 1 species